rnacentral:rRNA from 1 species
GACGAACGCUGGCGGCGUGCCUAAUACAUGCAAGUCGAACGCAGUGGGGACGGGUGAGUAACACGUGGGUAAACUCCCCUCAGAGGGGAUAAAACUUGGAAACAGGUGCUAAACCGAUACAGAAGGAUGGACCCGCGGUGCAUUAGCUAGUUGGUGAGGUAACAGCUCACCAAGGCCACGAUGCAUAGCCAACCUGAGCAGAGUAUCGGCCACACUGGGACUGAGACCCGGCCCAGACGCCUACGGGAGGCAGCAGUAGGGAAUCUUCGGCAAUGGACGAAAGUCUGACCGAGCAACGCCGCGUGAGUGAAGAAGGUUUUCGGAUCGUAAAACUCUGUUGUUAGAGAGGCGGUAUCUAACCAGAAAGCCACGGCUAACUACGUGCCAGCAGCCGCGGUAAUUC